rnacentral:rRNA from 1 species
GUGGGGAAUCUUGCGCAAUGGGCGAAAGCCUGACGCAGCCAUGCCGCGUGAAUGAUGAAGGUCUUAGGAUUGUAAAAUUCUUUCACCGGGGACGAUAAUGACGGUACCCGGAGAAGAAGCUCCGGCUAACUUCGUGCCAGCAGCCGCGGUAAUACGAAGGGGGCUAGCGUUGCUCGGAAUUACUGGGCGUAACGGGCGCGUAGGCGGACAGCUUAGUCAGAGGUGAAAGCCCAGGGCUCAACCUUGGAAUUGCCUUUGAUACUGGCUGUCUUGAGUUUGGGAGAGGUGAGUGGAACUCCGAGUGUAGAGGUGAAAUUCGUAGAUAUUCGGAAGAACACCAGUGGCGAAGGCGACUCACUGGCCCAAUACUGACGCUGAGGCGCGAAAGCGUGGGGAGCAAACAGGAUUAGAAACCCGGGUAGUCC